CCCCAACCCCCUCGUUCCUUGAACAUGAAAGAUUUGACUCAAUUAAAAAGAGUCUAAGUCCCUCAGUCAAGGAAGAUAUAAAACGAAAAGGUCCAUUUCUAACAGGAAAAAAGUCUGCAAGCUCCUUCAAGUUCAUCUUCCACAGGAGCCUUCAAGGAAGAAGAGGUAGGGAGGAUCUUUGUGAGUUCAAGGCCAGCCCAGUCUACAGAGCUAAUUCCAGACUAACCAGGGCUAUAAAGUAAGACCCUGUUUCAAAAUCAAAACAGCUCCUGCCUGCAGGUUUCCAUCUUGCGUUCUUGCCCUGACUUCCCUGGAUGAUGCACUACAACUGCUAUGUGAAAUAAGAC
ensembl:lncRNA